AAUUACAAAGUCAUCCAGUAAUAUUCAAACCAGAUUGCUUGAAGUACAUCAAAAUUUGAAGUUAUUAAGUUUUCAAUAAUGUUACAGUUUGUUGGUUUUGUUCUUAUAACAGAAUUUUUUAGUGCCAUAUUAUUUUUUUAUUUCUUUCAAUGUUUCUUUUACAUCCCUGUACCAAUCAUUUAAUUAAGCAAAAUUGCAGAAAAAGAAUUAUAAUCUUAAUAAAUUCUCUUCCAAAGGACCAGAGAGAGUUUGCACAGAGAAUGUAUAUGCUAUACGCUAGAGCAACAUCAAAGCCAGAGCCCAACAACAUUGUGACCGUCAUCGUUUACCAGGUAGAAAGGAACGUGACGUAAUUGGUUGUCACAUUAACUUGUAACGAAGCUUUUGAAGUCUAACCAACUUUUCAAACUGUUGUAUUAUUUUUGUAUUUAAUGAAAGUCAUAAUUAAAAACCUUUGAAAUGAAAGGAAAA